ensembl:lncRNA
GCUUUGGCCACAUGACUUUAUUACAAUACAUUUUUUGUUAAAACAUGACAUUAUAAACCACAAUAGAAUUUUAAAAGAAAACCUUAUUUCUCCGCUGUGCUCUAUCCCUUUAAUUCUGAUAUAAUUACUGUCUCAUUACAGUUAUUAAUCAUAAUGUAGAUGACACAACCAAUGCCUGGUGAUAGGCUAUCACCCAUCCAUCAUAUUUACACUAAGAGCCCUUAUCAUGAACUCGUUAUUCAGAACUAUAUUCCCUCACUAAGUGUUUUUUACAGAGUGUGUUCAUGUACUUGGAAAUGGUAUUUACACGUCUUUGGUGUAGUGGACAGACAGAGACAGACAGCCAGAAAGAGACAGCCAGAGACAGACAGAGACUUAAGGCGUGGCAGUAUAUAUAAGAUACAACUCUGUUCCAACAUUUUAGAGAUGCAUCCUUCUUUCUUUCCUUCCUUCCUUCCUUCCUUCCUUCCUUCCUCUAAGUGGAAGGAAAGCUCAUAACAAUGUCUGGAACAGACCGAAUGGAAUGGCAUCAAACCAGUGGUGUAAAGUCCUUAAGCCUCUGGCCUGGCAGACUCACUAAACACAAAUGCUUCGUCUGUAUGUAUGAGUGUUGGAGUGUGUCCCUGGCUACCUGUCAAUAAAAAUAAAAUAAAAAAUUGUGCAGUCUGGUUUGCUUAAUAAAAGGAAUUUGAAAUGGUUUAUACUUCUACUUUUGAUACUUAAGUACAUUUUAGCAGUUACAUUUUUCUUUUAAAACCAAAUACUUUUAGACUUUAACUCAAGUAGUAUUUUACUGGGUGACUUUUACUUUUACUUGAGUCAUUUCCUAUUAAGGUAUCUUUACUUUUACUUGAGUCAUUUCCUAUUAAGGUAUCUUUACUUUUACAAAAGUUGUUUAAUUGAAUACUUUUCCCACCAUUGCAUCAAACACAGAACCCUUUGUUAGAUGUGUUUCAUACAAUUCCACUGAUUCCACUCCAGUCAUUCCAACAAAAGCCCGUCCUCCCCAAUUAAGGUGCCACCAACCUCCUGUGCUCUGUCCCUUUAAUUCUGAUAUUAUGACUGUCUCAUUACAGUUAUUAAUCAUAAUGUAGAUGACACAACCAAUGCCUGGUGAUAGGCUAUCACCCAUCACUUGUUACAGUAUUAACAACAAGCCUGUUUUAUCUACUACAAUAUUUACACUAAGAGCCCUUAUCAUGAACUCGUUAUUCAGAACUAUAUUCCCUCACUUAGUGUUUUUUACAGAGUGUGUUCAUGUACUUGGAAAUGGUAUUUACACGUCUUUGGUGCAGUGGACAGACAGAGACAGACAGAGACAGACAGACAGAGACUUAAAGGUGUGGCAAUUUGAAUGCUCUUAUAUAAGAUACAGCUCUGUUCCAACAUUUUAGAGAUCCUUCCUUCCUUCCUUCCUUCCUACCUACCUACCUACCUACCUACCUACCUACCUACCUUCCUCAAAGUGAUGUCUUACCUAACUACACUGGAUAGGUGAAGAUUUUGUGGUGGAAAUAUCACUCAGACCCAAUCCAACUCUCUAAGGCCAGACCCAAUCCAACUCUCUAAGGUCAGACCCAAUCCAACCCUCUAAGGUCAGACCCAAUCCAACUCUCUAAGGUCAGACCCAAUCCAACCCUCUAAGGUCAGACCCAAUCCAACCCUCUAAGGUCAGACCCAAUCCAACCCUCUAAGGUCAGACCCAAUCCAACCCUCUAAGGUCAGACCAGGAAGUAAAGGAACUGAAGGAUGCAUGUUUUCAAGGAACCUGUAUUCACACAGGGCUGAAACAAAACAGUCUCAAUGUCAACUUGUCAUCUAAAGUACUGCUGAUUAAUUAAUAAAAUACUUUUUGUAAAGACCUCUCUCUCUCUUUCUCUGUCUCUCUCUCUUUCUUACUGACUGUCGGUCUGUCUUGUUCCAGCUCCUUCAAUCUGUAUUUUCCCUCUCUCCCCUUCUCUCUCUCUCUCUCUCUCUCACCCUCUCUCUCUCUGUCUCCCUCUCCCUCCCCCUCUCUCUCUCUCUCUCUCUUUCCCCCCCUCCCCUCUCUC